rnacentral:rRNA from 1 species
AAACCGUCCAGGGGUAAACCUGCGAAACUCGAAUGAACGAACGGGGAGAUUCAUCGUCACUCCUCGGUGCACUAGCACCGGAUGUUCGGGGCCUCGGUCCCGUUCACCUCCGGCGCGUGAGCGUCCGAGCGACGGCGUGCACUUCUCCCUUAGUAAUACAUCGCGACCCGUUCGAUGUCGGUCUAAGUGCCCCGGGAGUCGGCGUGGAUACCGCACCGACCGGCCGUCGGACGGUAUAUACGAAACGCUCACGCGCGCGCGUCCGGCCCGACGCAAGGUACGUCGUCAAUCGCCUCCUGCCCGAGUGCGGUGGUGGUUGCGGCGCGCCUGUUGUCGCCGCCGUGCCGUCUCGGACUGUGUGCGUAUCUGUCUGCGAUGAUUCAGUUUCGGGCACUCGCAGGACCCGUCUUGA